CAUUAGCCGCGGGAAUACGUAGGGUGCAAGCGUUAAUCGGAAUUACUGGGCGUAAAGCGUGCGCAGGCGGUUAUAUAAGACAGAUGUGAAAUCCCCGGGCUCAACCUGGGAACUGCAUUUGUGACUGUAUAGCUAGAGUACGGCAGAGGGGGAUGGAAUUCCGCGUGUAGCAGUGAAAUGCGUAGAUAUGCGGAGGAACACCGAUGGCGAAGGCAAUCCCCUGGGCCUGUACUGACGCUCAUGCACGAAAGCGUGGGGAGCAAACAGGAUUAGAUACCCCCGUAGUCCCUGUCUCUUAUAC
rnacentral:rRNA from 1 species